AAGGCUUGACAUGUGCCGGUCGGCUCCGGAGACGGGGUUUCCUCCUUGUGGGGCCGGUUCACAGGUGGUGCAUGGUUGUCGUCAGCUCGUGUCGUGAGAUGUUGGGUUAAGUCCCGCAACGAGCGCAACCCUUGUCCCGUGUUGCCAGCACGUUGUGGUGGGGACUCGCGGGAGACUGCCGGGGUCAACUCGGAGGAAGGUGGGGAUGACGUCAAAUCAUCAUGCCCCUUAUGUCUUGGGCUUCACG
rnacentral:rRNA from 1 species